CGAAUCCCAAAAAAGCCGGUCUAAGUUCGGAUUGCAGGCUGCAACCCGCCUGCAUGAAGUCGGAAUCGCUAGUAAUCGCGAGUCAGCAUAUCGCGGUGAAUACGUUCCCGGGUCUUGUACACACCGCCCGUCACACCAUGGGAGUUGGCAACACCCGAAGUCGAUGAGCUAACCUUUUAGGAGGCAGUCGCCUAAGGUGGGGUUGAUAACUGGGGUGAAGUCGUAACAAGGUAGC
rnacentral:rRNA from 1 species